rnacentral:lncRNA from 1 species
UUGUAAUAUAUAAUUUUAAUAAUUGAAUGAAAAAUAGUGUUAACCAAUUUCUUAGAAAGGUUAUGUUGUUUAAGUGAUAUUCCCUUGAUAAGUGAUGUAUACUUAUGGUGAAAAGUUACAUCUCUUUAAUAAGUAGAAGUUGGAUUCUAUAUAAACCCAUGAAACCAUUGGUAUUAGAUAUAGAGAAAUUAGAGUUAAUUUUUACUCUUGAGAAAUAGGGUUUCCCCACUUUAUUUCUCUCAUUCUUAGUCAAACUCCGAGUCGUGUCUUGAGAGUACGGAAUAUAUGAAGUUCGCCAGAGUCCGAAGAUUGAAGUGCUUUGACUUUGGAUUAUAGAUUGUUGAAUCCUGGGAGAUAGACGCCUAUCGAACUACAAGCACAAGAGUAGGGGCAAAAUUCUAUCUUUAGGACAUUGCAUUUAUGCAAGCCUCAAUCUCCAAGUUUGUCAGUUCUCUAACUUUCACUCUAGUUGUUUAUAUUAAUCUCAUAUAUAAUUGAUGUUGUGAAUUUCUUUAUUAUUAUUGUUAUUAUUGGAAUUAUAUUGUUAUUUUUCAUAUUUUCUAAUAUUGCUCCAACAAUCUAAAGAUAGAAUUUUUUUCUCUUGCAAUAUUAGAGAGUAUGAGUCUGAGUACGUAAUAGAAGAAGUUAAAAUCAAUAACAUUGAACGUAGCCCUCAAUGCUAAGUAGAAGAAAUUCUGAUGUUGCUUUGGAAAAUUUGUGGGGCUGGAUUUUACGUGCAUAUUGAUGUAUAUUAGUUUAUUUGAUGUGCUUGAAUUCUUGAUAUAUACAAUAAUGUCUGUAUGUUGCCACACUAGUGGAAAUUGCAUUGUGUAUAUACUAGAAGAUGUUUUUCGGUUUUCAUCUGGCAGUGAUAUGUGUGCUUUCAUUGUCUGCAUAUGUAUGUUACAACAUAUAUGCCUUCUUGCUUGGUUAUUCUCACUAAAAUGAAUCUGCCAUGCGUAUGAGAUUAAAAGAAUUAAUAAAUAGAUUUUUCUACAUUUGACAGUGAUAGGGUAUUGAUGUCUUUGGCCAUUUACCACCAUGUUAAAAUUUGAAUUGUCAUAUGGGCUGAUGCCCAGAGUGUUUCUUUCAAAGAACAAAAUUAAAUUAUUUCAUGAGUUACUGAUAAGUGACCUGGAUAUCUCCAUGAAAAGGUAUUCAGUACUUUAACCAAUCAGUUUAGUGUGGUUCGUGGUUAGGGCUGAAAUCAAAUAUGGCUAUUCUAAAUUUUCUUUGAUUAUCAUGAUUGGUUUUGAGACAUUUUCAGAGAAACAUGGAUAUAUUGAUAAUAUAUGUUACACUGCAAUCAUGAAUCUUUUGUUUCACAUAUGCGAUUCUCAUGAUUCAAUUGCAUCAUUCAUGAAUAUCUGGCAAGUAUGUUUGGCAUUGACUUUUCUAUUAGAAAGGAGGUGACGGUUAAGGUUAAAUGAAAUGGCUUGAUUCAAAAAUUUGCAUUAUUUGCAAAUAUAAAAGGCAAUAAUGUGUACCAGUUCGUGGACUGAUACAAUGUUUCUUUCUUGGGACAAAGGAAAUCAAUUUUUGAUUGGGCACGAGGAUGAUUAAUCGGGUUUUGUUGAGAAAACCCUUAUAUUCAUAAAGAUGUCAGCGAAAGCUACUACCCAAAUAAAAUGGGGUUGUUCUAAAUUUGUAUUGAAACAGUUUGGAAAACUCCAGUAGAAGAUAUGAACCCAACUUCCAUGGUAUCAUAGAAUAUAAGAUGAUUAUUCAUAUUUAUUCAUGGAAAGAAUGGAAUACAUAUGAAGGAAAUUGAACAAUUACUCAGGCAUAUGUGUGCAUAUGCAAAAUUGGGUUUAGUCUUUAGUCAUGGCCAGUCAUGAUAAGAACCCAGAAAGUGGAUAAAUUUGGCUUUGAGAAGCAACGAAAAUAAAAUGAUAAACUAAACUCAUUUUAGAUGAGUUAUCUGCCAACGUUGAAAAACGCUUAUUUAAUUAUGGGGUCAAAGUCCAAGACUUAUAUUGAACCAUGUGGAGGUUAAGUUGUAGAAAGAUGCAACUAUUUAACAAAUGGAUGGUUUUGUAAUGUGGUGGAAUUGAAAAUUGAAAUCUGCCAUGAAAUUCAAAGGAAAAGCAUGUCAUUUGAAGUGUUGCUUUUGAUAGUGAAAGGGUAUGACCUUUCCAACUAGUCAUUGACAUAUUCAAAUGUGUUCAUGGGCUGGUAUGUAUACUUCUACAUACCGACUGGAUGUAUUAUCAUAUAGUGAUAAUAAUGUUGCAAAAUCAUUUAUAUGCUUUCUUCGAAGUGAUAUAUUUAUAAAUUAUAAGAGGCUCAAGAUGAUAUUGAGUGUCAUUUAAAAUGAUAUUAAUAUAAAGAAAUAAUCAUGAAAGUGUGGGGGUCUUUCAAAAAAGGACAAAACCAUACUGAAAAUGUAAAAGACAUUUCGCAGAUUUGAAUUCGACAUAAUGAUGCUUAUUAAGUAAGCAUAUGAUUGGACAUGGACAUUGGGUCAUGCAUGUUGGUCAUAGUAAGGAAAGAAUGAAAGCCAAGAAGUGAUUUUCUCAUAAUUUCUAGUGAGGCAUGAAUGCCUAAAAAGAUAGAUAAAGUCUAUCUUAAUUGUUCCUUACUUCUUAAAGUGGAAAAUGUGAUCGAUUUAAUGAUAGCAUUACAAGAAACUACAAUUAUGAAAGAAUUGUGGGGGUUGGUUAAAAGUAAUUUGCUAAUUGAACGACAUUUAAGAUGUCAUCUCCUGUAAUGAGUAAUUGUUUAAGGUAUGGCAAGGUUAGAGACCUUCUUACAACUACCUUAAAUGUGGGGGAGUAUGCCCAAGUAUUAGCAAAUUACUAACUAAAAUCCCAACAUGUACGGUUGAGGACUUGACAUUGUAAAUCAACUACUCUCGUAUGAAAUAUAGUUUCAUAAGAUGGAUUGUGCACACCAUUAAAAAUAGUCAACCUAGUAGUGGAUCCAAUUAUUAAAUGUUAGACUAGAGAGUAAGUUGAUCAUCGAGAGGAAUGAGGCUAAAGCCAACAUAAUUAAUGAAUCAGCCGAGCGGAAACCUAACUUAGUUGAUUGGAGAUCCCAUGGUCUAAGUUCAAUAGGCAAACUGGUUGGGCAUGAUUCAAAGAAAUUAACACACUAUAUACCUCAUUCCUAUGGUGGAAGAAGUGUGUUGUCUGCAGAAGUUUUAGGUUGUAUAUUUAUACUUAAUGACAAUGAUAUCUUAUAAAUAAGAGGAAUAGAGCAGACUAUUCUUAAUCAGUGGUCACCUAUGUGAGAGUAGAAGUGGGUCGCUUCUAUGAGAAUGAGAUGGCUAAAUUCUCUAAAGCUCUCAUGAAUCCGGGAUUUGUUCAGGACCAAAAUGAACACAACCGUAUGAACCGGAAUAUAUUAGGAUUAGUGAUGUGUGUUGCUUAUUGUCUCGGUUUACUACUACGGUGAACAGUUCAAGAUUCUAUAUUCACUGCGUCACCAAGUAAAUCCGAUAAGUAUUCACUAGGGUAGGUUCAAGUCUAAAAGACACCUCUCCCGAUGCAUCUCUUGUCCGCCUGUACUCUCAAAUUCUUCCUAAUUUUUCAUUCAUGUGGGGGAUUGUUGGAAAUUAUAUAUUAUAAUAUGAAAUAUUGUAAUAUAUAAUUUUAAUAAUUGAAUGGAAAAUAGUGUUAACCAAUUUCUUAGAAAGGUUAUGUUGUUUAAGUGAUAUUCCCUUAAUAAGUGAUGUAUACUUAUAGUGAAAAGUUACAUCUCUUUAAUAAGUAGAAGUUGGAUACUAUAUAAACCCAUGAAACCAUUGGUAUUAGAUAUAGAGAAAUUAGAGUUAAUUUUUACUCUUGAGAAAUAGGGUUUCCCCACUUUAUUUCUCUCAUUCUUAGUCAAACUCCGAGUCGUGUCUUGAGAGUACGGAAUAUAUGAA